UAGCAUAUGAAAAUAUGGGAAUCGGGCGGAAUUAUAGUUUUUUGGCCAUAAAGCACAAAAUAACGAGGAAUGGUCAUGUCAGGGUGGUGACUAUGGUUCCUUAGGUCGUAUUUGCUGGCCCGAAUAAAUUUUAGGCGAUCGGGGUCCGGGGUACUGGCCUACUCGGAAGGCGUGGGAUAUAGCACACACAAAUAUGGGAAUCCGGCGAAAUUCUAUUUUUUUGCCGUAAAAUGCAACAAAAUGAGGAACGGACAUGGCGGGGCGGUAACUAUGGUUCCUUAGGUCGUGUUUGAUGGCCCGGAGAAAAUUUAGGCUAUCCGGGUUUGGCGAGGCCCACUGGGAAUGGGUGUGCUAUAGCAUAAGAAAAUAUGGUAAUCGGGUGGAAUUCUAGUUUUUUGGCCAUAAAACUCAAAACAACGAGGAAUGAUCAUGGCAGAGCGGUAAGUAUGGUUCCUUAGGUCGUAUUUCAUGGCCUGGAAAAUUUUUAGACGAUCGGUGUCUGGGGGGCCUAGGCCCACUCGAAAGGUGUGGCCUAUAGCACACAAAAAUAUGCGAAUCGGGCAGAAUUCUAGUUUUUUGGUUGUAAAACACAAACAAAUAAGGAACGGUCAUGGCUGGGUAGUGACUACGGUUCCUUAGGUCGUAUUUAAUGGCUCAGAAAAAUUUUAGGCGAUCCGGGUGCGGUGGGCCCCGGCCCACUCGCAAGGCUUGGGCUAUAGCACACGAAAAUAUGGGAAUCGGGCGGAAUUCUUUUGUUUUGGCCGUAAAAUGCAAAAACAACGAGGAACGGUCAUGGAGGAUUGGUGACUAUGGUUCCUUAGGUCGUAUUUGAUGGCCUAGAAAACUUUUAGGCGAUCGAGGGUCCGAGCCCACUCGGAAGGCAUGGGCUAAACCACACGAAAAUAUGGGAAUAUGGUGGUAUUCUUUUUUUUGGCCAAAAAUAUAAAACACGAGGAACGGUCAUGGCGGGGCAGUGACUAUGGUUCCUUAGGUCGUAUUUGAUGGCCCGGAAAAAAUUUUGUCGAUUCGGGUCGGGGGGGCCCCUGCCCACUGGGAAGGCGUGCGCUAUAACACGCGAAAAUAUGGAAAUCGGGCAGAAUUCAUAUUACUUGGUCGUAAAACGCAAAAUAAUGAGGAACGGUCAUGGCGAGGUGGUGACUAUGGUUCCUUAGGUCAUAUUUGAUGGCCCAAAAAAUUUUUAGCUUAUCCGGGUCCGGGGGGCCUUGCCCACUGGGUAGGCGUGGGCUAUAGCACACUAAAAUAUGAGAAUUAGGCAGAAUUCUAGUUUUUUGUCCGUAAAAUGCAAAACAACUAGGAACGAUCAUGGCGGGGCGGUAACUAUGGUUCCUUAGGUCGUAUUUGAUAGUCCGGAAAAUUUUUAGGCGAUCUGGCUCCGGGGGGCCUGACCCACUCGGAAGGCGUGGGCGAUAGCACACAAAAAUAUGGGAAUCGGGCGGAAUUCUAGUUUUUUGGCCAACAAAUGCAAAAAUGAGGAACGAUCAUGGCGAGGCGGU
rnacentral:lncRNA from 1 species